rnacentral:lncRNA from 1 species
UUAUUGAAAGAUAAUGAAUUAAGUUAUUAAUGCAAAUUGUGGUAGGCCCCGCUUUUGGCGUCUGAGUCAGCAGGGAUACAGUCCUAAAUAGCCGGGUUAUAGUAUUAAUAGUAGUUAACUUAUGAGGGGGUCAAAGAGUUUUGGAUCCCCUCCAUCCAAUACCUAUGGGCAUUGAAGGAGAUCCUACUAAAUUUGACCCAGGUCCCAAGCAGGACCUCUAAACGCUGAACAAGGGCAAGACCCUUACCAAACCGUUCCCUUAACCCCCGACCAGGUAGCCAACAUACCUCCAUAUAGACCGUGGAGAUAUGAAUGGUGAAAAUCUUUUAUUUUAUAUAGACAGUAAAAUAACGCCAAGACACCACGGACAAACGAUAAGGAAAGAUCACCUUCAACAUAAGUAACUAGUUAUUAAAGUCAUUAAUACAAAACCAAAUAAAAAGUGCAAAAGAUUAAAAAUAAAAAGUAUU